rnacentral:lncRNA from 1 species
GAGAGAUUAAUUGGUUUACUGAAAUCAUUCUGCAAAUAUGUCGCAGGGGACUCAGGAUUUGUUCCUAGAUCUUUGUAUUAGUCAGCGUCUUCAAGAGAAACCGAACCAAUAGAAUGUGUAUUUAGGUAUAUAGAGAGAUUUAUUUUAAGGAAUUGGCUCAUGUGAUUAUGGAGGCUGGCAAGUCCAACGUCUGCAGGGUGAACCAGCAGGCUGAAGACUCAGAGAGGAGCCAAUCCUGCAGUCAAGUCUGAAGACUGUCUGCUACCAAAGUCCCUCUUGCUCGGGAGAAGGGGACAUGAGACAUCAAUCAACAUAUGUAAAAUGACUAUUGGUUCAAUUCGGAAAGGCGGGACAACUCGGAGCAGGCAGGGGGCUUCCAGGUCACAGGUGUUUCUAGGAGCUGGAAAGCUCACGACAGCAUUGUGCAGGAAGGACACAGAGACAGAAUCGCUGCACCAAGCUGGAGGAGAGAAUGGCACCAGAACGAGCUCUGGCCCAGCGCUCUGUGGAGUGGACCUAUGAGGCCCACUGUAGGAGCAUGGUCCCACCAAUUCAGAUGGCUGCAGGGGCUGGGAAGGCGAUACACAGGACUAAAAGAGACCAUGGGCAUCUGGCAAAUAGGAAAACAUGGGCUCCAUUUAGAGGAAGGAGCUGUGUCUUAAGCCAUUUUGUGUUACUGUAAAGGAAUACCUGAGGCUGGGCAAUUUUUAUAUAUAUAUAUAUAUAUAUA